UACGGGGGGGGCAAGCGUUGUUCGGAAUUACUGGGCGUAAAGGGCUCGUAGGCGGCCAACUAAGUCCGACGUGAAAUCCCCAGGCUUAACCUGGGAACUGCGUCGGAUACUGGAUGGCUUGAAUUCGGGAGAGGGAUGCAGAAUUCCAGGUGUAGCGGUGAAAUGCGUAGAUAUCUGGAGGAAUACCGGUGGCGAAAGCGACUCUCUGGACGGCAACUGACGCUGAGACGCGAAAGCGUGGGGAGCGAACAGG
rnacentral:rRNA from 1 species